rnacentral:misc_RNA from 1 species
GGAAGGAUCAUUAACACAAUAUCCUUACACCUUGUGUGCACCUGUAAACGUUUUUUUAACAUGUUACACGAAAUCAACUAACUAACUAGAAGCCAAGUGACCUAGAAAUGGGUUGUGAAGCGUCUAAUUAAUUAAAAGUAACACUAAACAACUGCUAGCAACGGAUGUCUUGGUUCUCGCAACGAUGAAGAACGCAGCGAAUUGCGAUAAGUAAUGUGAAUCGUAAGAUUCAGUGAAUCAUCAAAUCUUUGAACGCAAACGGCGCUCCUUGGUACUCCGGGGAGCAUACCUGUUUGAGCAUCAACAUUGACCUCACAACCAAUCUAAUUUAUUAGGUCGAUUGUGGUGAAUGAGCGUCAUGCAUCUAAUGCAUGUUGCUUUAAGAUAAUAGCUGGACUCAGCUAACCAAUGGUGGGGUUUCGACCUAAACCUUGGACUAGUUGGAUCAUAACAGUUGACCAUCAAACUUGAUCUCAAAUCAGGUAAGAUCACCCGCUGAAUUGAAGCAUCUCAUUAAGCGGAGGAAAAGAAACUAACAAGGAUUCCCCUAGUAACGGCGAGUGAAGAGGGAACAGCUCAAACUUAAAAUCUGGGAGGUUUCCUCCCCGAAUUGUAGUCUAGAGAAGCGUCUCCGGUGUCUGUCUCUCGUCCAAGUCCCCUGGAAGGGGGCAUCAGAGAGGGUGAUAAUCCCGUAUCUGGCGGGAGAACAGAUGCCUUACGGGGCGUUCUCGACGAGUCGAGUUGUUUGGGAAUGCAGCUCUAAAUGGGUGGUAAAUUCCAUCUAAAGCUAAAUAUCGGCGAGAGACCGAUAGCGAACAAGUACCGUGAGGGAAAGAUGAAAAGAACUUUGAAAAGAGAGUUAAAAGUGCCUGAAAUUGCUAGCAUGGAAGCGAUUGAAACUGGUUAACUAUGGGAGGGAUUUGGUGGUGACUUCCGUUCUGCGGAUUUGCCGCUUACUUUCCUUCUGUAGAAGUCAACUCCGGUUGCCUAGGCAGUGAUCGGCAGUAGGGAAGGUAGGUUUGUACUUUCGGGUAUGAGCUGUUAUAGUCCUAUUGUUGUGCUGUUUGGGGGACCAGGAAGCGAGUGUGGUAGCGAGGUGUUACGCUAGCUGUUGCGUUGCUGGGGACUGCUUGCAGUGACUAGUAGCGUGGCCGUUACUGUGGUAUCGAGCUGCUAUGCUCCUGUUGACGUAACGGUUUUAACCGUCCCGUCUUGAAACACGGACCAAGGAGUCUAACAUAUAUGCGAGUAUUGUGGUGGCAAACCAACAAUGCGCAAUGAAAGUGAAGGCCUGCUCUGCAGGCUGAGGUGUGAGCCCGCAAGGGUGCAACAUCGACCGAUCUGGAGGUUUUCUGAAAGAUUUGAGUAAGAGCAUAUACGUCGGGACCCGAAAGAUGGUGAACUAUGCCUGGGUAGGAUGAAGCCAGAGGAAACUCUGGUGGAGGUCCGAAGCGGUUUUGACGUGCAAAUCAAUCGUCGAAUCUGGGUAUAGGGGCGAAAGACUAAUCGAACCAUCUAGUAGCUGGUUCCCUC